AAAGAUGCACGGUUUAUAGAGGCCUGAAACAUAGAUGUUGUGAUAGUGAGUGGCUCAUAUAUAUGAAGCACUCUCUUGAUAGACAUAAAAUAUCACAAAAAGAGGCAAAACCGCGAGGAUAUGUUUUUUAUGACACAUUAACGAUAGUAAAACAGUUUUGUUUCAAAUAAAAUAAGAAAAACGUUUUGUUUAGAGUCUUUAAGAAGUUCACAAAAACUUUCAAAUACAACAAUAACAGAUAUGCUUUUAAUACUUUUUACAAGAUAGAUUUCUUUCUUUCUUUGCUUUAUCAGCUUUUUUUAGAAGCUUUGGUGAAAUCCAGAUAAACAGUCAAAAUUAAUUGAACAUUAAACAUUUAAAACAAAAUAUAAAUAUUAUAAAAAUUGAAACCCUUAGCCAAAAGCUUAACACUCAUAACAAUCAAAAACUAUAUAACUAAAAAAUAAUAAAAUUAAACCCCAUUACGAUACUUUACCCAACCACAUCAGGACUGAGAAGGAACCAACACUUCAACACCACAUACCACCAGAUAGCUAGUGAGAUCAAAAUGACCAUAGUUUGUUCCACCACUGCAAACAUCAUACAUUUGAAACUCAUUAAUAAUAUGACGAAUUGACGACACUGAAUCUGGAGGAAAACACAACGGUUCAAGCAAAACUCCAAUGCGAUGAAGAUCAAACAAACAAUAUUAGUGACGGUAACAAUUAUAACUGGAGCAACUGUGAAAUUAUUGUGCUCAUAUAUUGUUAAUUAUGAUGUACAUUAUUAGGAAACUAUAUACAAUUAGGUCUAAGAUAUUUUCUUAGAGUAUAAAAGGAGAAAGGAUUGUUAACUGAAAAGAACACACAAAAUAUUUGACAAAAAGAACAAAAACAAAAUUAAGCGCGCAAUAACUUCAACAAUUUUUUUUUUUUUGAAACGCAAAAGUAAAUAACUUCAACAACUACAAACACAAACGUAAGCAAUGAUAUCAACGCAAAGAAUGGACUUGACUGGUGGAUAACUCAAAGCCGAUUAAGACGUCUCCAAACAAGGGCACCACGAUGCAAUGAUUUUUGAAGAAUAAAACACAACCCUAGUUUUUAAAAAUAUAUUUUAAGCAGAAAACCUUAGACUUGAUUGCAUAUAAUUUCCUAAUAGUAACUAUCAUAAUUCUUAAAAAUGAUCAAUUUUUUUUUAUAAUUACUCCAGUUUUCCAACAUUAUUGCCAUUUAAAAAAAACAACAAACCAAAAUAGGAAAAGAGGUCACAAGACUCACAACACUGGAGAUGAUCUUCCGAAACCCAGCCAAAACAAGAAUACUCUUUUCGAUCUACUUUGAUUUUAUGGUUAUAUGGAUUUUGUAUAGUUAUUUAAACUCUCCCUACGUUUGUAGAGUUUCUUAUCAGCAACAAAAAAAGUUUUAGAGAUGUGUGGCCACACUUGGGACUAGAUGGAAUGAGUCUCAUGAAAAAGCUCAGCGGUGUAUAUAAUAUUUGCUCCCUUACUUUAAUUCGCCUUCAACACUGUACCAAAUAAGAAAAUAUAUACAUAGAUAAGAGCGAUCAAAUAGUAUUUCCUCCAUUCAAACUUAAGUCUAGUAUACUCAAAUACCGAAUGAGUCCAGGAGUUCCCCCAAACACUUCAGUGGAAUACAUUUAAUUUUGAUAGAAAAAAUGUUAUAUCCAAUGAAGUGCUCAGAGGAACUCUAGGAAACAUCCGACAAAAACGAUGUUUGUUUCUAUAAUACAUUAUGAAUGUACUGUAUGUAUGCUUCGCGGAAAAUGUAAGUUUACAAGAGUAUUAGGGUUUGAAAGUUUUGGAUGUGUUGGCGUUUCUAUAUAUAAGUUGGAGCCGUUGUGAACUUAGACGUGAUUUCAGGUUAAGAGGUAUAGGAAAGGAAAUCAAAUUAUUCAAGAAAACUGCAUAAAUCCCUUUUCCUUUUAGCUUUUUGCAUGAAAAGAAAGAUCACAUUUAUAUAAACGCAUUAGGCAUAGAUGCCAAUAAAUAUAUUCACGUCCAUGCAACAGCACACAUUAGUACUUUGCUUUUAAUUUACGGAUUUAUUAGCAAACACAUAAGAUGAUCAAUUCUAACGAAAUAUUUUUUUGAAACAUUAUGUUGAUAAUCCAUCAUAACAUAAUCAUUAAAACUAAAUAUGAAGAAAAAAAACUCGAUGAUAGAUCGUUACGUUAGUGUUUUUAUCCAGUUUUUGGAUAUAUAUUAUCAACACAUAAGAAGAUAAACUUGAGAAUUGGCACUUACACAAGUAUCAACAAGCAGGACUUGGAGUUUUUACAUUUUUUUAAGCAAAAAAAAAAACAUUGCAGUUACAUGAAGGAAAAAAAGAAGUAGAAUAAGAUCUACCGCACGAAAGGUCCUACAGCAACCUGAUGGAGAUACUUAUAUUCUUAAAGCUCCUUAUUACACAAAUUCCGACUUGGUUCAUCUUCAAAUUUCCCCGCAUGUUUUAUUACGUAAUGGAGAAUCUAUAUCAUCUAUGGUCCAUCCCUAAGAUAUUCCAUUGUAACGAAGUGAAAACAUACCAUGGAGAAGUAUGUAUAAAUAUCCAUUUUGGGUUGUGAGUAAUGUCAUUGAGUAAGAGAAGCAUUAGCAAAAGACAUAGUGAGUAUAUUGUCAAAUGUCCUCUUGAGUUCCCUUUAACGCUUCAUUGUUCAUACUUGGUUGUCUAGUAUCUACGGAUAAAUCUGUCCAAUGAACACUGAAGUGUUUGGGGGGACUCUAGGUGGCAUAUUGGCGCCUAAGGUUAUAUGAUUUAUCAAGCGGUCUCGACUAUUCGGGUAAAUUAUGGCAUCAUGUAGUAGAAAAGCUAUGUGGUUGAUAUAAAUAUAUAUAUAUAUAUAUACAUACUAUCAUGAAUGAGUCAUUUCAUUUCACAAUUAUCACACUUUUUUCAUUAGAGCUUUGGCUCAUUAGAAAAUAACAUGUAUCGUUAUCUUUUGCCCUCAUUAAUCAUAAAUUCAUUAUAAACAAGCAGAUGUUAGAGAGACAUGGUAGUAAGAGCAUCUGCAUCAAUGAACCACUUAUUAGGUUUCAUCUUUUCAAUUUUUUAUUAUUAAAAUUUUUUUUUUUUUUGAUUUAAAAAAAAAAAAAAACUAGACCAAUCGCGGACCGCCACGACACGUGGAAUCUGCGCUACAGUGAUAAACUUUAGGAGAGAGAGAUUCAACCAAGAGAACUUUAGGAGAGACGAAUUCAUGUGAUUGAGUUAUUUUAUUAUUUUUUUUUCUUGAUUUCUGUGUGAAAUCCCCCAUAAACCUUCAAUGGGGAUGCUCUAAGAUCAAAGGAAAAAAUGGUGGAGAUCUUGAUAAACAUGGAUAAGAUUCUUAAAUAGUUACACACACAGACACAACUUAGAAGCAAGCAAAGAUGUCUUAACACGAAAAUGCAUAUAUAGGUUCAUCCAGAAAUUGCAUUACAUAAUAUGAUACAUAUACUGAACUGGAGGCAUGAAAUCACACAGUUUUUUUUUUACCAAUUUGAUAGGCCUCCUCCACUUCUUCAAAUGUUACAAACUGGGGUGACUUAUUUAGUCAGCGGUCCAACUCUGUUCGACAAUGUCCUUAACACGUCUGUUGUACUCACGCUUGUUCUCGCUGAACAAGCGAGCAGCUUCGGAGUUUGCAGGCGAGUUUGGGUUGGGAUCACAGAGGAGUGACUGCACAAUUGUAAAAACCACAACAAUGGUUUAUGAUCAAACAAUAAAGAAAUGUCUGAAUAACAGAACUAGACAAUCAAUAAGAUACCUGGAUAGAUGUGAGAAUCGCAGCAACAUCAUAAAUGGGACUCCAUUGGUUCUGUAAGAUAUCAAGACAGAUACUCCCAUCUGCAUAGACUGAACAAGACAGGAGGAGAAAAAAAAACGAUAAGACCAAAGAGUAACAGAGACAAAGACUAAACUGUUUCCUUUUCCCUUAAACUUACUGUUUGGGUGAAACAUGCGAGAAACAAAACGAACAGUUGGUGGUUUGUUGGGAUAAUCCUCCGUAAAUUGAAGAGUCAACUUAAAAGUACCUGGAACAAAAGAUUAGAAGUUUUUAUGGGUAACUUAAACAAGAACUGGAUCUAUAGUUUCUCUAAUCUCACUAAAGGUAUAGACUUUAUACCUCCAUCCCAAGGUGUAUCAUCUGGACUGCAGUUUCCAUUAAAAGCAUAGAAUGACAAAAUGAUCAGAAUCCAGACAAGACAGAGAUUUUAACCAUAAAAAAGCAAAUGUUAUUUUUUUAAUUACCCGAAGAUAACAGCGUUCCAGAGCAAGAUGUUGUUGUCCUGAGGAGCACCACUGAUACCAGCAGGAGGAUCUUGCUGCAACCUCCUGAAAUCCCUCAUCAGCCUCUUCCUCGCUGGUGUCGACAUCGUAUCUCUUCAAAAGAAAAGACAACAAACAUUAGAACUUGCAAUAUGUCUUAAUUGCAACAUCUCUCACAGCAAGAACUCUCUCAAAAGAAACCCUAGAUUCAUAUCAUGACAAGAGCUAGAUGAAACCCAUAACCGUAAUCAUGAACCCUAAUUAAGAAGAUAACCAAAUUGAGACAGAACACACCCACAAACUGUAAGAACCCUAAAUCAUAUCCAUAUCGCAAUCAGUCGAGCAGGCAAAAUAGGAUUAAAAGUGGACGAACCUGAAAAGAGAUGAACUUUUCGUAAUCGAAGACUACCAGAAGAGAGAGACAGAGAUUGUCUGAAAGAUUAUGACUUCAAUGGUCUUAUAAUUGAUUGGGUCGCCGCGGCACCUUCAAAGGUGUCAACCUAAUCAUGCAUUAAAGAAACGCUCCUUUCAUUUAUACUUUCUCUUUUUUUUUUUUAUCAGCCAAUUUUUUUUUUAAUUAGGUAAAUAUAUUAUAUUGACAGAUUUUAUGCAAAUUAUAAAAUUCUCUUUAUUUUUAUAUAAAACUAAUAUUUUAUAAUUGGUAUUCUUCCGUUUAUAAAAUUACAUAUUCUAAAGAAAAUUUUUGUUUCAAAAAAUCUUUUUUUGCAUUAUGCAUGUUUUAUUAAUUAAUUACAAAUUUUUUUAAAAAACAUUAACUGCACUUAUUAGAUUUUUAUUAGCUUAAAAUUGUGAAAAAAAAAUCACAAAAAGAUAAAUAUAAUGUUUUUAUCAAAAUAUGUAAAAAAAUCUAAAAUAUGUAACAUUUUGAAACAAAAAAAAAAUGUUUUAGCAUUAAUUAAGUUGUGUUUACUUAAAAUCUUAAAUUAUUGAUACUCCAUCUGUUCCUUAAAGCUAUAUAUCCUAGAUUUUUCACGCAUCUUAAUAAAACACAUUAAAAUUAUAUAGUUUUUUAUGUAUUUAUUUUUUUUCCAUAAUUUUAACCCAAUAAAAAUUUAGCUAGUGCAAUUAAGUUUUUUAAAGUUUGCAAUUAGUUAAAAAAAUAUGCAUUGAAAAUAUAAAAGAUGGAUCUUUUUGAAACAAAAUUUUUUUCUAGAAUAUGUAAUUUUAAAGAACGGAAUGAAUAUUUUUUUGUGUUCAGUUUUAGAAAACUUAAAAAAAAAUAAAGGUGGAGGAAAUAUAUAUAUAUAUAUAUAUAUAUAUAUCUCAAAAAAUUCCAAAUCUUUUUUUUUGUCAAAAGUUUCCAUUUUUUUAAUCGCCAGUAGGCGUGGACAUUCGGGGUCCCAAUCGGGUUUCGGUUUUAUCCAUUCGGGUUAUGAUUUUUCGGGUUUAUCAAAAUCAACCCCAUUCGGGUUAUAUAAAAGUUCGGUUCGGGACCGGUUCGGGUUAUAUCGGGUUCGGGUCGGGGUUAGUAAAUCUUCAAAGAACCGGUAUAACCCAUUGUACUUUCGGGUUCGGGUCCCAAUCGGUUCUUCGGUUUAAAAAUACAUGAUUUGUACCUAUUUUGUAACUAAAACAUAAAUGAAAUCGGUUCUUCAGAUUUAAAAUACAUGAUUUGUACAUAUUUUAAUAGCCAAAACAUAAGUAAAAUCGAUUCAAAAAUAAGAAAAAACAUCAAACGUGAUCAUUCAAAAUCAAGCGAAAGAUAAACAUAGUUAGUGAAAUAAAGAAAACAGAUAAAUGAAAUCAUAAAACAAAAACUAAGUUCUCAUGAAAUGAGAAACACUAUUUAAUGAAAACAAAACCAAAAUAAAAAAAACUUUAGGUUUCAACCGCUACAUUCCACCAUCAACCUUUAUCUAAUAGAUAAUUAUUUUAGAAGUUCAAUAAUAUCUUAAAGUAUUUUGGAUACAUAUUAAGAAUUAAGAUCAUAUUUGGUAGAAGUUCUUUUUGUUAUUAUAAAUGUUUCGGGUUCUAUCGGAUAUCCAUUUAGGUCCGGGUUCGGUUUGGAUAAUACCCAUAACCCAAUAUACCAAAAAACAGGAUCCAUUCGGUAUUUAUGUCGGGUUCGGAUCGGUUCGGAUUCAUUUUCAUCGGAUCGGGUUCGGUUCGGAUUUUCGGGUUCGGUUUAUUUGCCCAGCCCUAAUCGCCAGUUGCUCUCUUUGUUUUUAGUUUAAUGACACUUUUAACACCAAACCAAUUAGGUACACUCAUGUCACCAUCCUAAUCUUAAUCCACUUUCAUCGAAUCUAAAAAGUUCCAAACUUAAUGCAUAAUUCACAAUUUAAGCAAAACUCCAAACCUUUGUACCAUUUAAGACAGAAACUUUAAAACUUUAAAAGUGGCUUACAAAUUAGAUUAUAAAAACAAACUUCUUCAGAAUCUAAACCAAGAAAGAACCAAAGAAAACCAAGAAGCAGAGAAACAAGAGAUGGUCAUCAUCGGUUAAGCACUUCUUUGACCGAGAAGCCAAGACAGUUCUCAAAGUAGUUGGGAGGUUCAGACACGAAACAAGAGAUCACAUCCCUCAGCGUAAUAACCCCAUAAAGCUCAUCCUCAUCUCCAUCCACUACAUACACCCUAUGCACUGACCUCGAAGCCAAACUGUUUAUAACACUUCCCAAAGUCGAAUAAGGCCUACAUGUUAUCGCAAGACUCGCUGAACCAUAUUUAUCCCCCGCCGUUGCAAUCUUCGCCGCGAAAGUCUUCACCGUAAGUUGCCUUUUUGACAUAGACAAAAAAACACAGUUUAGUUCGACCCCAAAAGUGAAGUUGUAACGAGAAAAAACAAACCUGAAGUUGGAGAAGACUUCAGGUUGUAGAAGCAAGUAUCUAAUGUCUCUCAUGCUUAUGUUCCCAACAACCUUCUUGUUCGCCCCUUCAACAACAGGAAGACCACCAAUGUUACUGUCUCUCAUCCUCUUGAACGCUUCAAGAAUAAGCUCUUCGCUACCAAUGCUAAUCACCUAAAACCAAAACAAGCCCUCUUUCACUCGUGUUGCCGCGCGAUAACUUCCAAGAGUUUUGAUGUCUUACCUCGUUGGGAGACAUGAAAGGGAGGCCGAGAUCAGAGAUAGGAAGAGCAGAGAUAUGAUCAAACCAAUCUCUGCCUUUACAGCCUUCAAGACCAUGAACAACCGCAGACUGAGUAAUGUAGUUCUUGAUAUCCGGCUCUCCCGGUUUAAUCACCGGUACAUUUCUUAACCGGUACUUAGAGAGUAGCAGCAAAACACUCAGCAUUGAACUCUCAGUAGACACCGGAAGAAAAGGAGCGUAUCUAAAGGACUUAAGUAUUGUCCCAACCUGAAAAAAGAAACAACACAAACAAACAUAUCAUAACCAAAUCAAUGUCAUUGUCAUGUAAUGAAAAAAACUUACAGUGGUUGAUCUGAAAGGCUCUUCUUGGAGAAUGACUUGAUAGAAGUCUUUCCCCAAGCUAUCAGCAGCUGUCACAGCAUCUUUCCCGAUCCCGCGGUCAGCUGCAACGCCGCCAGCGACCGCUGCUCCAACCGCAGCCGCCGCUAGCCCCGCUGCAGCGACCGGACCGGUGACGCCGAGGGCCGCAACGCCUAAAGCGCCGACGGCUCCUGCGCCGACGCCGGCUGCGGUCGCUGACGUGGCGGAUAAGGCGAUUGCGGCGAGCUCUGCGCUCUCCAGCACCCAUAGGAUGAUCGAGGAGUAGUCGAUGAUUCCUGAGUACCUCUCCUUCCAGUCUAGGGAGGUCUCGUGGUCUUUGUUAAUGACGGGAGCUGAGAGAAUCUUGCUGUCUGAGAGAAUCUUUACUGCUUCUGAUACAGAUGUCUCCGCUGGAAUCUCAAUCACUGUGAUACACAAACACAAUCUAAGCGGAGAGUACUAUGAUGAGUGAGUCGUAAAGUUUUGAUUUGUUACCUCUGCCGCCGGGAACUUGAGGGAAGGAGGAGACGGGGAUACCGGCGAAGGCGGAGUUGAGGGUAUCUUGAAGAGAUUUGGGAAGAUUCUUCCUCGACUGAACUUUCUCGAAAUAGGCCUCGCAGCUCGAAACCGACGAUCUUAUCUCCUUAUCCACAUCACUCUUCUCACUUUCCGCCAUAUCACCUUGGUGAAGAAACACCAAAUCGAUGACUCCACACCAAUAUACUACUACAGUGAUUGCAGAUUCGAAAACGUGAAAACGGCUAAAAAUUUUAAUUUUUUUUAACCAAAAAGAAAGAGAACAGAAACAGUGGGUGUGUGUUCGUGGUUUGGAUAUGCAACGUGUCGGAGAUGGAACUUCUUCUGGCGGUUACGCGCGCCUUCAUUUAUUGACACGUGUCGUUCCAUGAAGUGGUCGUAUGUCAAAAGAGUAAACAGCGAAGCCAUCGGAGCCUUUUGACUCGGAUGGGCUUGAUUUUUAAAGAGAGAGAUUACAUAUUGCAUGAUAUGGGCCUAGGCCCAGAAUAGAGUCAUGCUUUAUUCCUUAUUAGUUAUUAGUCAUCAAUCGCAUUAGAACUUUGAUCCUGAUCUCAUGAUUCAUAUAAGAAUGAUGUGACUAAUAAGUAGAUUGACGAAUAUUUCAUAUUGACACUAAGAAGCUGUCACAAUAUCUAACACAUGGGUUGCUGAUGUUUAUCACUUUACUGAGUUGGAAGUCCAUAAUUUCUAAACAUUGAUGACAAAAAAAAAGUAUAUAGUUAUUGCUGUCCAGAAAGUUUGGUUUGAUGUGAUAAAGGGGCCAUUUGUGAAUAUUUAGUCAAGGGAGCUUGUGAUCUCAAGCCACUGAAGCUCAAGGUAUGACUGUUUGUUGGAGAUGGACGAUCAGAGGAGGAGGAGGAGAAGCUGAGUGAAGAGUGGGUUGGUAAUUGAUUGGGAUCAUAGUUUGGUCGUGUGAGGUCAAGUGUUACCGUGGGGUGGGCGUUAGUGGUGGAGAAAGAGACGUGGUGAAAAGGGAAAUAAUAGCUUAGGCUUGGGGAGGAGGAGGAGCCAGAUUGUAAUAAGGAGGCGGCAGCGGAAGUUCCGGCAGCCAUAUGGGUUGCUUCCAUGGGAAGUGGAUGGUCGUGAGUUCCUUCGUACGUCGUCAUAUAAGCGGAGGUGUCAUCUUCUCCGCAUCUUUGCACCUACAUAGAUACAUUCUUACAUAUGUCACACUUUUUCAUCUGGAGUAAUAUCCAUGUUAAUUUUUGGGAUCUAUAUAGAAGAGCCAAAUGCUUGUCUAUAUAACGAUGAUUCAGAUAGCAGUGGGAGGACCCUCUAGUCUCUCUUCAACCACUGGACCACCAUGAAAUGGUCUACAUAAAUCACAUUUACCAUUGAUUAUUUCUAAUGAAAAAUAAUAGUUACCACAACUUUUGUAAGAUGAAACCAAGGUUUAUUGCCAAUUUGCUAUAGCCAGUUUUAAUUUUGGAUUGUAAAAAUAUUGUAGAAUGUUUUGUACCUGUUUUCUGACAGGACAAUUUGAGGACAUGGAGCAGCGGUAAUAGGCUCGUGGAAGAGGAUUCGCUUUUGCAGUCUUUUGUCCGUACUUCCUCCAUUGGCAACCAUCGUUUAUCUAUAUAACAUCAAUAGCACUAUGAUAAAUGUCACGUCUAAGAUAAAAAAAAAAGAAAUAGACCUAUUAUAUAUAACAUAUCGUUGUAUGGCUUGGUACGUACUGAUGGGUCUUCACAUGGAGCUUUCACACAAACCCUAGUUUUCUUUAAACCCGGUUGUUCAUGUACUUCAAAAGCCUCUUGGUGAUCUUCGUUUCUAGCUGUUUUGAUAUCUUUCCUCGAGGAUAUGCAUUUAUUAUCCGCUUUUAUAUGUUUAACAUCCUUGGAAAGAUAGUCUAACUUCAUGGUUAGAUCAGUAUCUGUAUCUUCACAACUUUGAAUCCGAAAUCCUAAACCGAGUGCAGAUCUUUUCUUAUCGGACCCCUCACUGAUCUCAUCAGAAAUCUUGUCCAGACUAAUCUUAUCUAUUUCAUCUACAUUUUUGGAGACAUUUAGGUCUGAUCUUCCAAGCCUAAGAGAUAUAUCUACACCGAAAUUGUCGUGGCUAUUAGUGUCCAUCUCCAUAGAAUCUUCAUGUUGUGGUCGGAUAACGUUGGAGACAUGCAUUUGAAGAGAUUUAUAAUCAGUAAGAACGGUAGAUAGUAAGAGUUUUAACUUCUCAUUUUCUUCUCUAACUUUCUCCAACUUGGCUUUUGUUGCAUCAAGCUCCACUUCCUGUAAAUAUCCAGAGUACAAAUUGCUUAUAUUAAUGGCCUCACCUUCAUACUACUUGUGUUUACAUGUGAUUUAUUUUUUUAUCCAAGUAUUUUCUAAACAUUGAUUUCUUCGUAACUCAACACUCAAAAGUGAGCAGUCUGUAGAGAUGAACAGAGAUUGAAUACUAGAAGAAUAUAUAUUGUAUCGACAUUAUUGACAUGUAUUAUGUACAUGUUACGUUAUUACAUCUAUCCAAUCCGAAUAUUUUUGAAUAUUUGAAUUUCAUUUACCUGAAUAAUCUGAAUAUCCUCAACUUUUUUUAGAACAGGCAGGUUGACUUUUAUUACAUGCAGUAAGUGUGUAUUGAUUUCGAAAAAUCAACAAACGUAUGAACUACAUAUAUUUAUAUGUACACUAUAUGAAUGCGUAUAUCUAAAAUUCAAAAUUUUCACCGAUAAAACACCAGAAGAAGAUUUAAAACAGCCAUACCCGAACUGAUUAGAGAAAACCAUGGUUUAAAAUCUUAAAUCAAGAUAUAGUUUGUUCCUUUUACCUUAUCAGAUUCUACUAUACCAUCGGAAGGAUGAACACAUGAACUGAUCUUCUCUUUGAUCAUACUAUAUAUUAUGAUUCAGAUCUUGAGAACAGUUGGAUCCGCUCUUUCGGUUGUUCUUGGUUGCAAGAAAAAAAAGAGUAAUAUAUUCUCUUUAAUUAUUUGUAGAGUUGUAGCUUCUUAUAAAGAGCCAGGAGCCUACAUUGACUCUGCAUUUUAGUAAGAGGAAAUACAAACUUAAAAAUAUUGUUUUCUAUUGGUGAUCAUCACCAUGUUACCAGCUCUGAUUGGAAAUCAUUCUCAACUUCGUCUCGAUUCUUGAAUAAUCCCGAACCGACGACUCAGCAUUAUAUAAUAAAUAAUGUCUAUUGUCAUAAUAUAAUAAUGAUAAUAAUUCAAAUUGUAUUGCAAUCCAAAUCAUGAAUCAUUUAUGAUAAUACUUUAUAAUAAUUUUUGGUAAAACACUUUAUAAUAUUUUUCUACUUCUGCAUCAUGGUUAUUAUAGCAACGCUGUAGACAUUAUGUUAAUUUAUUGGUAACUAGGACGAGUCUUUACUUUUGACAUGUACGUACGGAUAUAUCGGAUUAUAGAUCUAUACAUAAUUUGUGUGUUUUAUACCGUCUAAACUAAAGAAAUUUGUACAUUGAAGUUAUGGUUGCAGAAUUCUACAGAUGAAUAUUGUGGCAUAGGUAACAGAUGACCUAGAAGAUCGAAUGAAACAAUACUUAGUUCUUUCUUUUCUUUGAUAUUUUGUACAUGCAGGUGUGUAUAUUAUCCAGAUAGGGACAGUGCCGGUGCUAGAUAUCAACUACAAGCUCCGACCUGAUGAAGUUUAGAGAAAUAAAGGGCCACUUCUAAGGGAAAAGUUGCUAGUUCUUUCUGUUGAUAGCAGUAUAAGAGCAUUUUCAAUGUAAUAUUCUAUUUUUUUCUUUAAAAUAAAGUAAAAGUAAAAAAAAUAGAGUAAAAGUAAAAAUGAAGUAAAACCUAUUAUAUUUCUCAUUCUAUAAUGGAGUGAUGAACAAAAAAAAAAUAGUUUAGUCCAUUUAUGGAGUAAACUCUAUUAUGGAGUGAGAUUUAGAGUUUGGUUGGAGCAAUCAUUACUCUAAUUUCACUUUUAUUUCAUUUUGUAAGAAAAAAUAGAGUGGAAUUAAAGAUGUACUAAAGGAAAAAGCAAAAGAUCUUGAGUUCAGUGUCUCUUGGAAGGCUAAACUUUAUUUUAUUUAAAGAAAAGAAAGAUUAUGGGCUCAAGAUAACAUUUAUUUGUUUCUAAACCUAAUUUUUUUCUUUCUAAACCUAAAUUUUUAGGACCAAUUCUUGUUAAGAGAUUCAAAAUUAGGGCGUUCGUGGAAUUCAUUCAUUUCUCUCUUGAGAUGGAAUGAUUAUCGGAGAUUCUAGAAUAUAUGUGUUCCAAAAAUUCAGAUUUUCAUAUUAUAGACAUCUAAAAAUCCAAUCAUUUAGAACAGAAAUUUAAAUUUAUAUAUCAUAAAGUAUAAAAUAUAUAAGGCUAACUUUCUGUUCUAGAUAAUUUAAUUUUUUAGAUGUAUUUUUUUUUGAAACACUUUUUAGAUGUAUAUAACUUGAACGUAUAUACAUCUAAAAAAACUAUAUAUAAUAAAAAGAAAAAAUGUCAAUUUCAUUUUUCUUGAUGUUUUUUUUUCUUUUUAUUUAAUGAUUUCUUUUAUAAUUUAGUUCUAUAUGCAAUGAAAUAUAAAAAUUCUCUUUUUGGUAUAAGGUCUAAUGAUAUGUCAGUCAAAACAUAAAACUGAUCCUGCUCUAACCGGUCCAUAUGAAAGACCGCAUAGGGGGCAUUGGCAUUGUACACAGCCUUUUCGCGCAUGUUCAGUGCUGACAGCACUGUCCGGGCAGGGAUACACUUUCCAAUGAAAAGAAGACACAUAAUCGAUUUACAGUUGUUUAAUUCCGAAAAAGGCGACCAAUGAUAAGAUUCGUUACACAAAUCCAUGAAGGCGAAUCUGUAAUUUUGAAUUCUUGAAUUUAUAUGACCCCUGACUGAAACUGUAUACAAAUAACGUAGUUGACUAAUCUCAUGUUCUUCAUGAAUUAAUAAGCAAAAUUUCAAGAAACUUAAAAUUAACGAGUACAUCAUGCAAGAAGAUUAUUGAAGUUAUAAAAUUAAAGCGUACAAACAAGUGAACAACUACAUUUUUUAUUAUGAAAAUAUUAUUCGAAUAAAGUUUUGAAAUAUAAAGUAUGGCAUACGUAACUAUUAACUAUAUAAAUAUGUUAAUAGUUUAUUUUGGCUCUGAUAACUAUUCUUCAAGGAAAAUAUGACAUUGUGAAUUCAAAAUCUUCAAAAAGAAAUAUUUCUUGUAUAGAUUAUUCUACGGAGUUUUUUUUUGUUAACGCUAAUGACAUGAUGUUCCUUGUUAGUGUUAUGGUGUGUUGUUUAUUUUGAUUCAAACACGUUUAUUGAAUGUUAUUGGAAAAACAAAAUUUUCAAAGAAAAUGAUUUUCUAAGUAAUUUUAGUUUCUCAUUUAUGAGCUAAAACUGUGGUACAAACUUAUUUAUCGUAUAAUGAUUACUUGAUUAGUGGAAUACAUAGUUUUGUUACUAUAUAUAUACUGUCUCAGAUACUUUCUCUACAAAAUGUUUACUUUUCGUAGAUUGUGAAUGCAAAUUUUUGAAUAUGCUAUAACAUGUUACAAGUUGAACAAAGAUAAUGUCUACUUUUAGCCAAAAAAGAAGAAGAUAAUUUGUGUUAUUUGAAAAUGAUUUAAGAAAGUUAACCUAAAGUCGCAACUCGCAAAUAAUGAAUGUUUUUAUAUGCCAAUUCAAAUAAUUUAUUGGGAUAAAAAACAUUUAAUGAUUAGGAGAAAAUGAGCGCAGGAGCCGGUAACUAGUCGACCAAAUACAUGUCAUAACAAUACAGUGGUAUUAUCAUAUCUUAGCUAGAAUGAAAUAUUUAUAAUUAAUAACUUUUAUAUUACACAACUAUGACAUUAUGGUCAAUGAUCUACCACGUCGUGCAUCAGAAUCUAUCGCAUAAUCAUUUAUCACAAUGGUGAAGUCAAUUUAAAUUAGUUUAUGUCAACUUACUUUUAUAAUUAAAACAUAGCAAAACAAACGAGAAAUUUGGUAUAGUAUUAUUUCACAAGUCAGUUUUCAAAGUCGGAUCCGGCCGGCUAAAGUUUGGUGGAAACGGGAACUGACCAAUAAAUCUAACACUAGAACAACUCAGUCAAAAAUCAUAAUAUAUAUAUAUAUAUAUAUAAUGUAUCCCUCUUUCUUUCAAAUUCACUGUUCUUCCACAUACUCACUUUUUUAUAAGAACAAUGGAAAUUUACGUAUAAUUUUUAAAUUUUACAAUUCUCAGAACUAUGACAUUUUAUGUUUUGUUAGUACAAAGUACAAACUACCACCGAAAUCAUCAAUUAUAUAUAAAAAAAUUAAGUUUUGUUAAGAUUUCUAAAAAAUUAGGAAAGGAUAAUGAAUGUUUCAUAUGUACGAAAUUACUAAACUUUGUUAAGCACUGCUAGCAUUUUUCAAGCAUUAGUAUUUUUGGAAUUAAUUUUUUAAGAUAAUAUUAUAGGAUCUCUUAAAAAAUAAACAGUGACAAAAUACAUCUUUGACUGCUUUAUUUAGCUAAUCACCUUAACCGAUACACAUUACAACCAAAGCCAGAAUGUUGAUACAACAAUAUGAAUAUGUUCGUAGUAUUGUGAAAAUUGGGACAAAUCUUAUUUCUGGUUUUCCUGAAACAGAUACAUAUAUAUAACAUUUUCUCCAGGGAGCAAUUUUAUUUACUACAUACAUAUUAGAAUAAUACCUCCUUAAGAUGUUUCCCACACCUUAUAGUCUCUGCCUUCGACGGCUACAGACCAGUUUUGAGAUCCGCUUGGUGGUUCAUAGUGCCCUGGUCCGAUCUUCAUUGCAACUUUUUCAUCUAUUAUAGCCGCAUAGACAUCUCUCUCACUCUUUACUAUGUUCACCUUUAUAAUGUAUUGAACAAAGUAGUCUAGUUUAAGACCUGACGAAUUUAGCAAGACUAUGUUUUAAGAGAUUGUGAGUUUUUUACCUCACUCCGACAGUGGAGUUUCUGUCUGUUCCUGAGAGACAGAAGAGAAGCGAUCUCAGAACGGUAGUCUGAGUAGAUAUGGUCGAAGAAAACCGCUGGUGUUCCUGGAUGAGUCAAGAUGUAAGCAUAUCCUUGCAUCUCCUUCCCUCCUGGGAAUCUCCAGUGACCCUUUUAGAAAGGAGGAAGAAAUUUCGUUAAAGACGGUUUAUUUAAAGGAUGACAUUACAAUGGUGAGAAACUAAAACCUGAGUAGAGCCAGUAUCAUGAUUCUCUAUGAAUGUCACAGCACGAGAUGGCCACCAUCCAACUACACCAGGAGGCUUUCCUUUUGGGUCUGAGAGUCUCCAAUAUUCACAUUUUUGAAGUGCCUAACACGCAGACAAUGCUUAACCAUCAUAUCUCAUAAACCAAAACAAAAGGGUAUAAUAUCAAAGGCUACAAGAUGUUGAAUAUUGUUAGUACCGCAUGGAGAAUUCCUUUGGUCGUGACAUCAAAGGCACCAGCAGCUCCACUGGUAGCAUUGAUCCAGUCAACAAUCCUUUGACGAUGUGCGUCUUGAUUGUAGUCCAUUUCUCCAUACGUGUAGCUUAGGGAAUCCCAGUAUUCACCAACCGCAAAGUAUGGUUUGCUAGCAUCCAUGUAGUCUUUGACAUAACCUCCCCAGAACCCUCUUACGAAAUCAAGCCUCCAUCCAUCAUACCCAACUUCUUCUCUGCAGGUGAAAUCAGACACGAGCGAGACACCAGAACCAAUCAGCAGCGAUUAUAUUACGAAACUUAAAACAAGGGAACUAACCUCAUCCAGCAUAGCCAUUCCUUGAUAUCCUUCCUAACAAAGUCCUGUGAGUGAUCUAUGUUUGGAGCAGCAUGGAAAUUAUCUCCACUGCUCUUGUUUCCUCUACCCUGAAUUGUACCAUCAAAGAGUAAUUCAAUUUAUCUUCGUCAAACACAUUAGCCCUAAGAUAACAAGACGGCAGAAUUUGCCUGUCUUUUUGUUCCAUAGCUCUAAGAUCAAAAUUGUAUUGUUUCAACUUUAAAGAAGCAAAAUGUUACCUGGAAAUGAGGGUCAUCUGCAACUACUGCCCUAUCAUCCCAGUUCAGACGCCCUCCAAAUAGAUUCCAUACACCAUUUGAAUUCUUGAAGUGUGCACAGCGGUGAUUCAACACAGCAUCUCCCAAAACUUUGAUCCCAACCUUGUGGAAUCUCUUCACCGUUUCUUUUAGCUCAUCAAUAGUUCCAUAUCUGAAAGUUUUCAACAACAACGGGAAACAAGUAAUUCAGAUACAUGCUAUUUUAUUAUCUGAGACAUACUACACUUCAUUAUAUAAACUACCAUUAGUAUUGAUGACCUCCUAAGAAAAAUAAAAUAUAAAGCAACAAAAAAAAUCACUCAACCAAAAUUUCAUUUAAUCCCACUUGAAGACACAACCCCAGAUUCAUGACAAGCUUUAAGCAACGAUAGAAAGUCUGUUGAUAUAGCAGAGCUCACCUGGAAUUCAAGUUGUACAGGUCUUUAGGCAUGUACCCUUCAGGUGACACAGAUUCUGUCGGUGGUGGUAACCACAGAACGGUGAAUCCAAGUGAAGCUAGCUCAUCGGCUUUUUCUUGAAGUUCCUGAUACCAUCUCCCAGAUUUAUGGGAUUCCCAGUUGAAUCCCUGGCACAAUAUCUCAAAACCUGAGCCAGUUCCCGAGGAGAUUUUAAUUUCAGGCUUUUCAUCCUCUGAUUCUAAAUCACUUUCCGGGGUAAAAGCUGGGGUUGUGCUUCUGAAUAUGCUAUAUGCCUCCGCAGCAAGUUUCUCAAUUUCUUGAAGAAUGUUUUCUUGCACUUCUUUCACGUUUGUCUUCUGAUUCUUGUGAGAGGAAAUGUCAAUUGCCAAGUUCCUUAUCUCAGUGAUGAUUUCUGCAGUGAAUCCACUAUCGGACACUUCUUGAUUUGUCUUUGGUGUCUUUCCACUCACUUGAGCAGCUCCAGAUUCAACGGGAAGGGCUGCUGAAGUAAGGAAAGGGACGUAGAAGUCUUCUCCCCUGUUAUUUAGCCAAGUAUUUUCAUUUAACUUGAGCACAAAACAUAAUCCUUCGAGCUCUCCAUCCAGAGAGAAUAAUCCAGAUGAUCCAUUCCCAUCGUCUUUUCGCUGAAGAAGGUUCAUAUGCAUAAGAAUUCAGAUAAUGUCACUGAUGGGAAAAGAAAACAUUCUAAUACGAAAGGUGAACAGAAGAUUUAGUUUCUUUGUUGAUAACAUGAAAAUGAUCUCAGGUGCCCACAAAAGUAUGUUGAAGUAGCAGUAAAGACAUGAGUAAUGGCAUUAUAUGGUCAAAUCGUAAAAGCAUGCAAUCCAAAGAAACUAUCUACCAGGAAAUGAAGAACCUAAUGUAUAGUGUUGCUAACAACCCUAAUGCUAAAUUUCAAACUAGGCCUGUACAGCCUGCCAACUGCUUGGACUGUUGCCAGCAUGGCCAGGUGCUAACAAAGAUCUAAUUUUAAAUCUCACAGACUUAAAAUUAGGGAGACACCCCAACACAAGUGGUUAUUGGUAGAUUUCCAAAGCUGAACACUCAAAAGAACAUACUUCUACAUUUACCUGUAAACGAGUGCGUAAUGCCUUGUUCUUGAACAAAGAUGUUUCUUCUGGAUAUGGUUCAGCUGGAAUUUCCCAUUUUUUAUUGCCAUUUUUGCAAACUCCCCAGUGGACAGUAACAUCACCCGGUAAAUCAGUUUCAAUCGAUACAAUGUUCUUCGAUGUUUCAGGGCAUUUCCUUGCAGUGACACUGACCGAGUUAUCACCGGCAACAUGUUUACUAAUUGGCAUCUCCUCAUAAAACUCUUCAAGACCUUUUCCUUCUUUUGUAGAACCAGACGAGCUCUUCCCUUUUUCUUGAACAUCUGCACCAGGCUCAUCUGGUUUGACAACAAUGUUUGAGAGCUUCCCAAGAGCACCUAGGUAUUCAAGAGAAAGCAACUCUCAAUCACUGGAUUUCUUAAGCUUGAAUUAUAAUUCGUUAAAAGAGAAUGAGGAUACACACACAAGGAGGAGAAGAUGCCAAAGUAUAAAAUGCAAAACCAGUAGUCAGAACAACAGAUGUAACUAUCUAGGCAUAAGAAGUAGUCUACACUGAAAGAUAUAAAAAAACGCCCCAGCCACUUACCGAAGCCUUUCUUUGCUCCGAUCAAGUUCCCAUCAUCAGGAACAUCGUCCAGAAGAGGAACCUUAAAAUCUCUCCCUUUGUGCUGAUACCAUGCCCCAGUUUCUUCAUCCUGGAAAACAACAACAGUCACAGAUUAAUAUACAUAUAAAAGGCAAACGCAAAGUGUGAAGCAAACAGAACCUUCAAAACAAAGUUGAGAACUGCUACUGAGCUUUCCAGAUUUAGAUUAAUAGUAACUUCAUGAAAUGAAUCUCCUUCUGAUAACUUCUCCAAAGGUGUCUCGAUAGCAUAGUCCUGCAAAGGAAAUGUUACAAUUACUAAAAGUAACGAUAAUGAAAAAGGAAAAAAAAAAAGUGGUAUACAUACUUUGAUGGCAAGUGAGCCAGGUGGUCUCAUAUCUUCGGGAGGUUGAUCCCAUUCACUGUGGAGAUUUCAAAGGUAAGGAAAUAAUAAUGAGGAAAGAGAUGAAGAAAAGGGAAGGACCUGCCAGUGUCACCAACAUAAGAAACACCCCAGUGAAGGAUCCAUUUCCCAGGAAGACUACAUCCAACACUCAGCUCCCAAUCAUUCUCCUUCACUUGCUUUAAUCGCACAUAAAUCUUUCCUUCUGCCUAUCGCUCCCAAAAUCGAAAUAAGACUGGUUAACCUCAGCGGACACCAAAACCUAUGAGCUUAGAAUGAUUACUGCUGAUCUCUUAGAGUGGAGUUCUUAGGUAAUAUAAAAUACGGUUUAGUUAAACACUAAGAAAGAAGAGAUAUAAGAGACGUCUCUUAAUUUUUUUUAGUUAAAAAAGACUGUAUCUUAUAUUACAGUAAAAAGCUCCACGAAUCGAUCCACCAAUCAAUCAGAAUCAACUUAACAAAUAGCGUGAAAGAUAUAAUCAAUCCUUUGGAAUAGCAAAUGUGAUCCAAAUUGUUCCCAGGUUUCAAUCAAAAUUAAGCAAAUGAAAGCGAGAAAACCUUAUCGAUUCGCUCAACGGGGAAAUUUCCCUUGAAGAUGAUGACAUCAUCCGAUUGAGAGGUUGUUUCGACGACGGCAGUAUCGGAGGAGCUAGCUCGAAUCGCGACGGACCUUCUUCGGAAACCUAAGCUGUUUCCGCAGGCGAUGCUUCUUCCGAUCGAGUGUAGCUUCUUGGAGGUGAAAUGGCAACGGAGAUUCAGCGAGGAUGUAGUAGGUCCGCGAUGGAUGGUAGAGGUGCGGCGAAGAGGAGAGAGGUGGAGAAGAGGCUCAAUGGGAACGGUGGACAUUGCCGGUUCGAGUAAAGAAGAAGAAGAAGAUAUUUUUGGAAGGGAGAGUGGAGGAGAGAAGAGGUUAAGAGUCGUUUGAAAUUAUUAUUCUUGUUUUUUGAUUAAAAACUAAACUUUUGGUUUUUUUGGUGAAAAGGGAAGAUACCUUUUUUUUAUUUUUUUGAGAUUCAAGUAAAGCGUCGUCUACUCACUUACUAUCCACGUCGGCUCCACUUAUGGGUCCCACCCCUUUCCCUCGUCGGCCAACUUUUUUGGAACAAAAUAGUUCUCUUAACAGCAUCUCCAACCCAUUACACUAUUUUAGUGUCAAAAUCACACUAUUUUAAUGUAGUUUUAAUAUUAAAAACAAAUUCAUCUCCAACCACAACACUAAACUUCAUACUAAAAGCUAUUUUAUAAUAUUAUAUUUAUUUAAUUUAUUUAAUUUUUCGUUUUUAAUAAUAUAAUUUAUUAAUAAAAUAAGUGUAUAGUGUUUUAGUAGAGUGAAUAGUGUUUUAGUGUGAUGAAUAGUGUCACACCAAAUUUGAUGUAAAAUUAUAGUGUUACACUAAAAUAGUGUGAUUUUUAAUGUUGGGUUAAAAAAAGUUUUAGUGUAAAAUUCACACUAAAAUAGUGUUUUGCAGUUGGGUUGGAGAUGGUUUUAUUCCAGUUUAGUUUCCUCUCAUCUCAUGCUAAUUGUGGAAGUCUCUUAUUCCAAGUUAGUUUAACUUAAAAUUAAUUAAUGGUUCUGUAUUAAAAAAUAGUUUUAAAUUUGUAAGAAUUUUAGUGUGAUGAAAUUAUAAUUUAUUAAAAUUAUCAAUUAUAGCGUAGGUGUGAUAGAAUAAUAGUAAAUAGAAGUACAUUUUAAAGAAAAAUAAUGUUAAAUAAGUUGUUUGCUGUUUAAUGAUCUGACGGCUGAGCGAUGAGUUUGGAACGUUUUGAGAUUCUUGUUCCCGAAUCGUGAAGCACAGAUCUCCACUGGUGGUAUCGUAGAUAUCUAAAAAGUAGGUACCUUUCUUUAUUUAACAAGUUAAAUAAUUGGUUUUAUAAAUGCUAUUUUCUCUGUUGUUAGGAUAAUAAGCUCAUGUUUCUACCAACGAUCUUGAACUAAAGUCCUAAUUAGUCACUCCCAACUUUGUAGUAGCAAAAUUAAGAGGAGAAAAAUUGUAAAUGAAACCAAAGUCUUGAACAAAAAAUAGAAAUAAGAAUCAGUGUUAUCUUUCAGAAGAAAAGAUAACGCUUCACUCGCAUAUAAAUUUUUGUAAAUAAGAUAUUUAGUUUUUAGUAAACCAAAUUGCUUCAAAUACUCUCAAGCCCAAAACAUAACUAAAACCAAACAUAUGAUCCCGUCCACAAGCCAUAAACAAACCAACGAUAUGUAAUUUUAAAAGGAAUCCAUAAGGACUUUCAACAAUAGAAACACAACUAAACCCUGAUAGAGCUUUGUACUUUUAUGACCUCUUACUCAGCAGCAGCGUUCCCCUGAAGAAGACCAUCCCUUAUCUGUGAAGCAAUGUCCUUAACAGCGCCUGGACCGUGCGGUAUGAACACCGAGUUUGACUUCGAAGACGCACCAAUCUCCUUCAAAGUAUCAAAGUACUGAGUGACCAGAACCAUGUCCAUGACGUCUUUGGAAGAUGUCCCUGGUACAGACUCGGAGAAGGCCAGAACACUGUUUCUCAGACCAUCCACAAUGGCUUGUCUCUGGCGGGCAAUACCAAGACCUGAAAGGUACUUGGACUCAGCUUCUCCUUCAGCUCUCUUGAUCUGAAGUAUCUUCUCUGCCUCUGCUUUCUCACUCGCUGCCUCUCUCAUCCUUGAAGCUGUCAUGUUAAAGCUUUGUCAGACAACAAAAGUCGAAAACUUGUAUAUACCAACAACUAAGCUUACCAGCAUUGAUCUCAUUCAUAGCUCUCUUGACAUGCACAUCAGGCUCGAUAUCCACGAUAAGCGUCUGAACUAUCUCAUAUCCAUAAUGCGACAUAGCCUGUUUACAUAACACAACAGCAGAUUGAGUCUUUUUUGCUCAAGGAGAUGUCUUGAGAGUGGUUUGAAUUACCUUCUCAAGCUCACUCUCAACGGUUUUAGCAAUGUCGUUCUUCUGUUCAAAGGUGGAGUCUAGAUCCAGCUUAGGCACACUUGCUCGGAUCACUACUCCCAAAACAAACCAAUGGUGAACACAAACAACACCGAGAAGUUAAACAAAAGGGGAAAGAUAUUGAAGAAACAAACCAUCAAAGACAUAAGCUUGAAUCUGGUUCCUGGUAUUGCUAAGCUUGUAAAAAGCAUCUUGAGCACUCUCAGCCAAGGCGCGGUACUGAAUCGAAGCAACAACGGUGACGAACACAUUAUCCUAAACACACAAAAAAAAACAUUAAAACAAACCCUCAAAAGUCUCAAAACACAAAAAAAAAAAGAGUGAAAAGCAAGAGAGACUUUAGUUUUGGUCUCGCAGCGAACAUCGAGCUGUUGAACACGCAGGGAAAGGUGACCAGCGACUUGACUCCCUAAGCACCAUGGCAAACAGUGACAGCCUGGCUCGAGAACGUCGUCGAAUUUGCCAAACGUCUCUUUGAUUGCAACGGUCGACUGGUCGACUUGGACACAUCCUAAAACUUGACCCAUUUGUUAUUUUCCUGUAACCAAUCAAGCAGAACAUGAGAAGCAUAAGAAGAUAUAUAAUCCACCAAGUCUGUAUAAAUAUCUGGCAAAGAAGAGAACAAGAAGUAAGGACCAAGGCAAAGAUUCUGUAACCCAUACACCACACAAAAGUCAACAGACAAUUCAAACUUGUCUUCCUAUAAUCCAAGGAUAAGAUUAUUUUAACGAAAAAUCAAAUCAUUUUUAAAACCCAUUUAGACUCAGAUUUUUAUUUAAAUAUUUCGUCUAAUUGAAUCCUAGUGAAAGAACAAAAUAUCCCAAAACCCUAUUAGCCGCAUAAAAAAAAAACGAAAUUCCCAUAGAACCCCUUCGUCUUCUACAAAGCACACAAAGAAAGAGAGAACCAAACCCUAAUUUCGACAAGAUUCUGUCAAAAGGGGUCCACAAAAAAAAUUAGCUACCGAGAAAGAAGAAAGAACAGAGAUCUAUAGAAUCAAUGAAAUUACACAGAAGUGUGACAAGAGACGCGAAUCACAGAAAUUAAAAGGAAGGGACAAAGGAAGGUUCAGACCAAACCGUGUUUGUUUUCGUAAGUGAGAGUCUGAUCUGCUGUUCUGUUCUGUUCUGUUUUGAUUUACACCCACUAUAAUAUAAUAAAGUAACAUCAUUAUUCGACUGACACUUAAAAUUAGUUUCAUUUUUUAAAAUAAAAUCUUUUUUUUACUAAACUUAGUUAAUUUUUGGUCAACAAAAAAUAAGUUAACUUAGGCCCAUGUAAAGUAUUCAACAAUGUUUGGGCCUCAUUGCUUCAUCCAUAUACCUUUCUCAGCAAUUUUCACAUACGCAAAACACAGCCGCAUUUUUUUUUUUUUUUUUUCCCAAAUUGAAAUUCAUUCAUAACUGAAGUACGACAGUUCAAUACAUAAGCUGGCGGAUACAAAACAUCCCCAGAGACAAGAGCCCAAAGAACAGGCAGCUAGAACCCACACCGGAGUAACUUUUAAACACCAACUUAACAAGCAAAAUAACAAUACAUAACUACACAAAAGUAUGCAACAAACAAUGCAAAAGACCUCCAAGCUAAAUAGCAGGUAACGAGAAUCUGGAUAUAUCGAUGCUGCACUUGGCACGCCACACGAUACCAUCCACUUGUAGAACCCAAAGACCCCAUCGCGCCUUCUCAACCCGGAUCUAUCGCUGCCGCCUAUGGCCUGCCAAACGAUACCAUCCCCACUCGUAACUCAGAACCAAGACUUCAUAACCCGACUAGAGAAAUCGCUUCACAAUCCAAACAUCUCUCGGAUACGGCUUGAACGCACUCUUUGACGCCCACUUUUGCAUCUAGAUAGAAGUCCAACAAAACCUCCACACAACCAAGCUUCGCCGCUCACAUCUGAAAACCAGAAUAAACAAUAACACACCAAAACGACGAAAGAUUUUUGCAACCACCAUAACCCGGAGAUAAUUUUGCAACUGAAUAUGUCACUGCACUAACCACCGAUAGACUCCAAGAACCAACACCAUGAAACACGCAUGACAAUACCAUGAAACACGCAGGAGGAACCAACAGGUACACCACAGCUAAGAUAAUCUGCCUACCAGAAACUCCAUAAACAAAACCAUAACUAAGAGAAAUAGAAAAAGAUCCAGAAGCUGUCCACAUCGGAAUCGUCACCGAGCUGUCGCGAGACCACCAAUAAUAGAUAAGAGGAAGAAGCACAAACACCAACUGUUGCCGGUGCUGGUUCGCAGUGACAAACGAUCUCGAGAAACAAGGGCACACACCACCGUCUGAGAGAGAAGGGCGAGAAGCUUCCCAACCCAAAGAUAGGUAUGAGAAGAAGCUACGGUGGGAGCUCCGACGAAACUCAUCCACCGUCUUUCUCUUCACCCUGCCGCCAUGGAUCUGUAAGAUAUAUCCACAUCUAGUCCAACAACUAGAUCCGGAGGCUAUAUGUCUAGCCGGAUACAUGAGCCCUCUCCGAAAGUAGAUCUGAAGAGAAAAUCGCUUCGUUAACCAUAGCCGACCCCUCCUUACCUUCACCUAAACAAAAUCUCAUUUUUUUUCACCAGAUCUAACAUCUGAGAAGCGGAUCCACACCAAAUUCAAAUCCAGAGAAAAAGAUAUAUCGAUUCAUGAUGAGAGAAGCAAGGAGAGGCAAAACGAAAGAGGAAACUAGGGGUUCCGGCACCGGCGCUACUCGCCACCACCGGAAAAGCAAGGGUCGUAGAGGUUGUCUGCAAGGUGAACACAGCCGCAUCUAGCAAUAGCAUUCUUUUCUCACAAAUAUCACUUUGUUAAUAUCUUUA
rnacentral:lncRNA from 1 species